AGAUGGAAAACAUGCAGGAUAGCGGCCCUCCAGGACUGGGAUUGCCCACCCCUGGUCUAUAGGGUGUCUAUAGUAUAGACACAAAAUAUAUCGCAUUCGAAACCCACCGUGAGUCUUCAGAGAAUUAGAAAUUACGCAAAAGUUUUUCUCAAAAUUUUAUAGUCUACGCAAAGGGCACCCAGCAUAACUUUCAAGUCAACUGCGAGUCAGAAUAAUUGGAAUGUUUUUAAGCAAACCUCCCAAUGACAACAAUACUUUUAAUGUUUUAAAGGUUCGCAAUAGGGUUGAUCGUCCACGGGAGAGGGGGUGGGGCGCGCAGAAGUUCAUCUCCUUUUAUGUCCAUAGCAGUCCAAGAUGCAGAGGAAUGGGAAGGCAUGAUUUAAAAAAAAACAUUUAUAGUAAAGCCGGGUCCGGCCUUCCUGAGUGGAACUGUCUUGUUCUGUUCUCUCUGUGCCUGCGUGGGUUUUCAGAGUCCUUAGGUUUCCUCCCACAUUCCAAAUAUAUGCAUGGCAGGUCCAUGGAACACUCUACACCAGGGAUGCCCAACCUUAUUGACUGAAAAUCGACUUUGGAAAUGAUUAACCUCCCGCGAUCGACCCGAUCGCGAGCGUGCUAGCAUACAAACUUGCACACACGCGGGUGGCAACCAUGCACAUGUACGCAUAUGCACGCACGCCACGAUGAGCAACAGCCUUAACGGUCCCGACAAUGACCAAAAUCGAAAUUUAGAGACACACAAAGCCCCCGACCCCUCGCGAUCAAGUUGGGAUCAAUCCACGGGCUAUCGGUCGAUCGCGAAGUGAUAUGUUGAAUGCACCUUGCCUGACUAUGGAAUGUGUUACGGAGCCUUUCAUGGAUCAAGGAAGAAUGAAAUUCGAUUGUAAGACUUAAAAUAUAUAUGUUGGUGAUCUACUUAAUAAAUCAAAUGUACCCCCACCUCAUCUUUUAUUUUUUAUGUAAUUACAGUGUGUGUCGAAUGUCCAGCAGGAAAAAAAACUUUUUGUCCAUGUUCAAGCUAACACCAAGAUCAAAUACAGUAUUGAAAAAUCAAAGUUUUGGUCUUUAACUAAAAAAGGAAAAUCUGUUUCAGUGUUUUAUUGAAAGUAAGCAAUAAAUAAUACUGUGAUAAAAAUAGUUUAGAAGUACUCAGACUGUACAUUGUUACAGGAACAGACAAUACAAAAGGGAAGAGCAGGACAAACAAGAGCAACAUGAUUUCCACAGGCCACGAAUGAGAGAAAUUACAAAAAAA